GACGAACGCUGGCGGCGUGCUUAACACAUGCAAGUCGAACGGAAAGGCCCUGCUUUUGUGGGGUGCUCGAGUGGCGAACGGGUGAGUAACACGUGAGAAACCUGCCCUUGACUUUGGGAUAACUUCAGGAAACUGGGGCUAAUACCGGAUAGGAGCUCCUGCUGAAUGGUGGGGGUUGGAAAGUUUCGGCGGUUGGGGAUGGACUCGCGGCUUAUCAGCUUGUUGGUGGGGUAGUGGCUUACCAAGGCUUUGACGGGUAGCCGGCCUGAGAGGGUGACCGGCCACAUUGGGACUGAGAUACGGCCCAGACUCCUACGGGAGGCAGCAGUGGGGAAUAUUGCACAAUGGGCGGAAGCCUGAUGCAGCAACGCCGCGUGCGGGAUGACGGCCUUCGGGUUGUAAACCGCUUUCGCCUGUGACGAAGCGUGAGUGACGGUAAUGGGUAAAGAAGCACCGGCUAACUACGUG
rnacentral:rRNA from 1 species